rnacentral:rRNA from 1 species
AACGCGAAGAACCUUACCUGGGCUUGACAUGUUUCUGACCGCCGUGGAAACACGGUUUCUCUUCGGAGCAGAAUCACAGGUGGUGCAUGGCUGUCGUCAGCUCGUGUCGUGAGAUGUUGGGUUAAGUCCCGCAACGAGCGCAACCCCCGUCGUAUGUUGCCAGCAUUUAGUUGGGGACUCAUACGAGACUGCCGGUGACAAACCGGAGGAAGGUGGGGAUGACGUCAAGUCAUCAUGCCCCUUAUGUCCAGGGCUACACACGUGCUACAUUGGCGCGUACAGAGGGCUGCAAGACCGUGAGGUGGAGCGAAUCCCUUAAAGCGCGUCUCGGUUCGGAUUGUAGGCUGAAACUCGCCUACAUGAAGGUGGAGUUGCUAGUAAUCGCGGAUCAGCAUUGCCGCGGUGAAUACGUUCCCGGGCCUUGUACACACCGCGCAUA